CCUCCGCCAUCAGUCGUGCAGGAAAAGUUAGGGAAAGAAAAGGAUUGAUAGCCCUUUGUAGACAGGAGAAAAAGGUGCCCACGAGAGAGUUGCCAUCACCUAACGCAUAGUGCAACUUGAAAAUGUGCUCAUAGAAUGUUGCCCACGAGAGAGUUGCGAUCACCAUGCCAGCAGGGCGACCAUCACCUAACACUGUUUUGGUGUUAUGCUUGCGAGCUCCGCCAUCAGUCGUGAAGGAAAAGUUAGGGAAAGAAAAGGAUUGAUAGCCCUUUGUAGACAGGAGAAAAAGGUGCCCACGAGAGAGUUGCCAUCACCUAACGCAUGGUGCAACUUGAAAAUGUGCUCAUAGAAUGUUGCCCACGAGAGAGUUGCGAUCACCAUGCCAGCAGGGCGACCAUCACCUAACACUGUUUUGGUGUUAUGCUUGCGAGUGAGUACACACACACACACAUACAUGUAUAUUUAUAUGUAAUGGAGUGAGGUUAAUUACUGAGGUUUUUUCGCAUGGUGUGGUUCAAUUGAACCCCUUGUUUUACUCAGGUAGCCUGCAUCUAAUAAACUCUUAUUUCCUUUU